ACGUAGGGGGCAAGCGUUAAUCGGAAUUACUGGGCGUAAAGCGUGCGCAGGCGGCUAUAUAAGUCAGAUGUGAAAUCCCCGGGCUCAACCUGGGAACUGCAUUUGAGACUGUAUGACUAGAGUGUGGGAGAGGAGGGUGGAAUUCCACGUGUAGCAGUGAAAUGCGUAGAGAUGUGGAGGAACACCAGUGGCGAAGGCGGCCCUCUGGGCUGGUACUGACGCUGAUGCACGAAAGCGUGGGGAGCAAACAG
rnacentral:rRNA from 1 species